rnacentral:rRNA from 1 species
UACGAAGGGGGCUAGCGUUGCUCGGAAUCACUGGGCGUAAAGGGUGCGUAGGCGGGUUUUUAAGUCGGGUGUGAAAUCUUGGAGCUUAACUCCGAAACUGCAUUCGAUACUGCCGUGCUUGAGGACUGGAGAGGAGACUGGAAUUUACGGUGUAGCGGUGAAAUGCGUAGAUAUCGUAAGGAAGACCAGUGGCGAAGGCGGGUCUCUGGACAGUUCCUGACGCUGAGGCACGAAGGUCAGGGGAGCAAACGGG